AUUGAACGCUGGCGGCAGGCUUAACACAUGCAAGUCGAGCGGAGCGAGGGUGCUUGCACCUUAGCUUAGCGGCGGACGGGUGAGUAAUGCUUAGGAAUCUGCCUAUUAGUGGGGGACAACGUUCCGAAAGGGAUGCUAAUACCGCAUACGCCCUACGGGGGAAAGCAGGGGAUAUUCGGACCUUGCGCUACUAGAUGAGCCUAAGUCGGAUUAGCUAGUUGGUGGGGUAAAGGCCUACCAAGGCGACGAUCUGUAGCGGGUCUGAGAGGAUGAUCCGCCACACUGGUACUGAGACACGGCCCAGACUCCUACGGGAGGCAGCAGUGGGGAAUAUUGGACAAUGGGCGGAAGCCUGAUCCAGCCAUGCCGCGUGUGUGAAGAAGGCCUUUUGGUUGUAAAGCACUUUAAGCGAGGAGGAGGCUACUAGUAUUAAUACUACUGGAUAGUGGACGUUACUCGCAGAAUAAGCACCGGCUAACUCUGUGCCAGCCGCCGCGGUAACAC
rnacentral:rRNA from 1 species